CCUACGGGAGGCAGCAGUGGGGAAUAUUGGACAAUGGGCGCAAGCCUGAUCCAGCCAUGCCGCGUGUGUGAAGAAGGCCUUCGGGUUGUAAAGCACUUUCAGUGGGGAGAAAGGUUAUUCACCUAAUACGUGAGUAAAUUGAUGCUACCCACAGAAGAAGCACCGGCUAACUCCGUGCCAGCAGCCGCGGUAAUACGGAGGUGCAAGCGUUAAUCGGAAUUACUGGGCGUAAAGCGCACGUAGGUGGUUUGUUAAGUCAGCUGUGAAAUCCCCGGGCUCAACCUGGGCACUGCAGUUGAAACUGGCAAGCUAGAGUAGGGUANAGGGGUGUGGAAUUCCAGGUGUAGCGGUGAAAUGCGUAGAUAUCUGGAGGAACAUCAGUGGCGAAGGCGANACCCUGGACUC
rnacentral:rRNA from 1 species